ACGGGAGGCAGCAGUGGGGGAUAUUGCACAAUGGAGGAAACUCUGAUGCAGCAACGCCGCGUGAGGGAAGAAGGUCUUCGGAUUGUAAACCUCUGUUUUUGGUGAAGAAUAACUGACGGUAGCCAAAGAGGAAGCCACGGCUAACUACGUGCCAGCAGCCGCGGUAAUACGUAGGUGGCAAGCGUUGUCCGGAUUUACUGGGUGUAAAGGGUGCGCAGGCGGGACUGCAAGUUGGAUGUGAAAUACCGAGGCUCAACCUCGGAGCUGCAUCCAAAACUGUAGUUCUUGAGUGAAGUAGAGGUAGGCGGAAUUCCGAGUGUAGCGGUGAAAUGCGUAGAUAUUCGGAGGAACACCAGUGGCGAAGGCGGCCUACUGGGCUUUAACUGACGCUGAGGCUCGAAAGUGUGGGGAGCAAACAGGAUUAGAUACCCUGGUA
rnacentral:rRNA from 1 species